CCUACGGGAGGCAGCAGUGGGGAAUAUUGCACAAUGGGGGAAACCCUGAUGCAGCGACGCCGCGUGAGUGAAGAAGUAUCUCGGUACGUAAAGCUCUAUCAGCAGGAAAGAAAAUGACGGUACCUGACUAAGAAGCCCCGGCUAACUACGUGCCAGCAGCCGCGGUAAUACGUAGGGGGCAAGCGUUAUCCGGAUUUACUGGGUGUAAAGGGAGCGUAGACGGCGCUGCAAGUCCGGAGUGAAAGCCCAUGGCUUAACCAUGGUACUGCUCUGGAAACUGUAGAGCUUGAGUGCGGGAGGGGCAGGCGGAAUUCCUAGUGGAGCGGUGAAAUGCGGAGAUAUUAGGAGGAACAACGGCGGCGAAGGCGGACUGCUGGACCGUAACUGACGUUGAGGCUCGAAAGCGUGGGGAGCAAACAGGAGUAGAUACCCCAGUAGUC
rnacentral:rRNA from 1 species